AGAGGAGCUUGAAAAUGAUCAGAAUUGUGAAGGCGCCGCAUCUUCUUGCGCCUCUUAAUGCAUCCGUCGUGUCAGCAGCACUAUUGUACUGAAGCGGUAUACAGUACCGGUGCGCGGUUCUCUUUUCACCUGUUUAACUGUGUUACAGGGAGCGGUGCGUGUCCACUCUUCCUCUAUGUGUCGCUGGCGGCAGCUUCAUUUCUUCUGAUUACUUUGUUAAUUACACUGGUAAUAUGCUAUCGAAGACAGAAUAAACCAGAUGCGUAUUUGGCAAAUGAACCAUCGAUGUAUUCCGAGAUUCGCGUUACAGGGAGGGCGCCAGACAAACACAUAGCAGGGCAACGUGAAAACACCGGUUCUGGAGGAAGGCACGCCAGACCAAAGAUAAG